UUCCCAACAUAAUAGGUAUGUAAACUAUAGUUGUUGUAGGUCAAGUGGCAGUGGAGUUGCAUCAGAUUUCCUGCAGGUGGGGUUGUUGUCGGAACUUUCCAGUUUCCAAACACUUUCAUAAUCAUCCAAUCAGGGAACCGGCUGUCACCCUCUUAACUCAACCCACCUCUGCCCUCAUUGUUCUGGGUAGGAGUUGCCCUUUAAAGGUCCAGUGCAGUCAAAAACCUGAUGUUCCUAUGUUUUAGAUUAAUUUAAUAAUAGAUAUGAGCCUUGGCCUCCACAUUGUACAACCUUCUGGGGCUUCUAAACCUAACCCACCUUAACUCCAAAUUAUCCAUCAAAGACUCCUAUUGACCUGCCUCAACAUAAUAAUAGGCUAGUCUCACUCUCCAUAAUAUUAGGCUAACCUUGCUCACCAUGGUAAUUAGAAUAGCCUAGCUUACCAUGCUAAUAGAUUAGCCUCGCUCACCAUGCUAAUAAACUAGCCUUGCUCACCAUGGUAAUAGGCACUCCCUCCAUUAGCCUGGCAAAUAUUAGUGGCCAGUGAUGAAGAAGCCUACCAAGGUGAAAACAUUGGUUUGAACCUAGGUCAUCUGUGUUUGCCAGGUGACUGAGCUAAAGCCUAUAGAAUAAACAUUAGGCUGCCAACAUGGGGUGUUGAAUGAUGACUGAAAAACCUGUGUUUCCAAUGUUCUCUAGAGUGAAGUUUCCCUAGGUACAGAUCUAGGAUCAGCUUCCCCUCCCCCAAUCCUUAACCAUUAAAAAACUGAAAAUUAGAUCAAAUAAUAUAUUGGAAAGCUUUCCAGAAAUCAAGAAACAUAAUUCUCCAAGUUUAGAGUUCUAUCUUUGUCAAAAGUGAUUUUCUCUCCUUCAUGUUCUUCUUUUUGGAAUCGCUCUUUUCUUCAGGCUGCUCCUUCCAUCUCAGUUUGACGUCAUCAGACAUCCCCUUUUCUUCAGGCUGCUCCUUCCAUCUCAGUUUGACGUCAUCAGACAUCCCCUUUUCUUCAGGCUGCUCCUUCCAUCUCAGUUUGACGUCAUCAGACAUCCCCUUUUCCCUCAGCUGCUUCUUUACACGAGGAACACAAAGUAACGGAAUACAGUAUAAAUAUGCUGUGCUAUGAUAUAACUAUAACACACCUGCUACCGUAGUAACCAAACAAACAUACUUAUAAUGUAAUGCUUUUGUUAUUCUUUUCACUCCGUCAUUUAGGUUAGUAUUUUGGAGUAACUACAAUGUUGUUGAUCC
rnacentral:lncRNA from 1 species